CCUACGGGUGGCAGCAGUGGGGGAUAUUGCACAAUGGGGGGAACCCUGAUGCAGCGACGCCGCGUGGGUGAAGAAGGGCCUCGGCGCGGAAAGCCCUGGCAGCAGGGAAGAAAAUGACGGUACCUGAAGAAGAAGCCCCGGCGAACUACGGGCCAGCAGCCGCGGUAAUACGAAGGGGGCAAGCGUUAUCCGGAGUUACUGGGUGGCAAGGGGGCGGAGACGGCGAUGCCAGCCAGGAGUGAAAGCCCGGGGCCCAACCCCGGGACGGCUCUUGGAACGGCGUGGCGGGAGUGCAGGAGGGGCCGGCGGACUUCCUGGUGUCGCGGUGACAUGCCUAGCUCUCCGGAG
rnacentral:rRNA from 1 species